rnacentral:piRNA from 1 species
UGAAUCUGGGUUCCUCGGGUU